UGUCAAGUGUCAACACCACAAACAAUCUUCUCCAUAUAUAUAUAUUAACCCUCAGCCUCCCCUACCCCUUUUCUUAUACAAACAAAGAUCCUCUCUUCUCUCUCUAAAGUCACACGAAACGAAGACAUAGAAGCAGCAGAUAAGAGAUGACUGAAGAAGACGAGUGGGUUCAUGUAGCUUUGAACGAUGACACUUUAGUGGUGGAGCUCCUUUUAAAGCUAAACCAACCAGAACAACAACCACCACCACCGCCAGUAAGGCGGCGGCGACGUCGUCGUUUUGCGGCGGAUUUGGCGAAGGAAGGAGCGGUGCUGGCUUUGAGUGUGGACUGGAGCGUGAGACAACGACGCUCUUCGUCUAAGCAAGUAAUGAUGACGAGGAGCAAAAAAGGUUCUGAUUCGUCGUCUACUCGUGCGAGUCCUACCACUCCGCUUUCAUUUAGCGGUGGCACCUCCGUCAGCGGUGGUGGUGCUGGCGACGGUUUUGAUGAAGCUACUACUAGCGCUUGCCUUCCCGCUAAGUUGAUUGCCACCUCGAGAUCUAAGGUUGCUGUUACAAGUGGAACACCAACCAUCAAGAGGUCAAGAAAGAAGAAGAAGUUAGUUGAGCUUAGAGAGGAGGAGAUUUUGCUACUGAAGGAAAAAAGACAUUUGAAAAAUAAAUUGGAAACUAUGCGUGUGAGUUUAGAGAAAGAGAGAGCCAGAAAUGAAAGUUUGAAGAGAACGAAGUUUGAUUUGCUAUCACAGCAUAGACCAGAGAUAUUCACAGCUUCUGUUAAAUCAGAAGAUGUUAUUUCAAUGAAGCCUCAGGAAACAAAAGUAGCCUGUGAUUCCACAUAUUCAGUGUUGCCACACAAUGUUUCUUUCCAGUUACAGGAGGAUGAAGGCAGGAAGCCUUCCUUUACGCUACCAGACCUAAAUCUACCUGUUGAUGGUGAUUCAGGCUCUGGCAUUUUGGGCUGAGAAGAAUCAGUUCUAUACUGGUUUUUUUCCUUUUCAAAUAAUACAUGUUUCGGCACCUCCUAACAGCAUCGCAUGUUGAGUUGAUGUUUUGUUGAACGAAAGAACAUGGGAUUAGACGUCAAGAACCUGUUACAUAGGAGCCUAAAACUGCUGAGUUUAGAAAUAUAUUCAGAUGGGAAAUAAAUUGAAAGCUAUCAGCUCGUGCUGGAAUUGGAAGAAUGAGCACAAACUCAGCCCAAAGUUGAAUCAUGACUCUCAACAAUCCACCACAACUGCACAAGGAAAUCAGAAGAUUUCUCAGAAAAUACUGAAUCAUAAAGUAAUGGAAAUCAAGCAAAAACAACGACAAACAUUUUGCAUAUGCACAGUGCAUCAACCAAGACAAUCAAUUGAUGAACAAGGAAUUGGAAUCAACAUUGGGAUGAACGAAAAAGCUUUUUAUUACAAGAGUUAGAGAGUUUAAGAUUUAUCGAAUUGUCUUUACCCAGAAAAAAUAAAACCCACUUGACUUCCACAGAACCCCAUCACUGUUUUUUCUUUAAACCUCUAAAUUAUCGAACUUUAGAAAACCAGUAAACCUCUAGAACCCAACGAAGUCCAAUUCUGAUGAAAGAAAGCAAAACACCAACCAAUGCCAAAAAGAAA